rnacentral:rRNA from 1 species
GACGAACGCUGGCGGCGUGCCUAAUACAUGCAAGUAGAACGCUGAAGGAGGAGCUUGCUUCUCCGGAUGAGUGGCGAACGGGUGAGUAACACGUGAGUAACCUGCCCUUGACUUUGGGAUAACUUCAGGAAACUGGGGCUAAUACCGGAUAGGAGCUCCUGCUGCAUGGUGGGGGUUGGAAAGUUUCGGCGGUUGGGGAUGGACUCGCGGCUUAUCAGCUUGUUGGUGGGGUAGUGGCUUACCAAGGCUUUGACGGGUAGCCGGCCUGAGAGGGUGACCGGCCACAUUGGGACUGAGAUACGGCCCAGACUCCUACGGGAGGCAGCAGUGGGGAAUAUUGCACAAUGGGCGGAAGCCUGAUGCAGCAACGCCGCGUGCGGGAUGACGGCCUUCGGGUUGUAAACCGCUUUCGCCUGUGACGAAGCGUGAGUGACGGUAAUGGGUAAAGAAGCACCGGCUAACUACGUGCCAGCAGCCGCGGUGAUACGUAGGGUGCGAGCGUUGUCCGGAUUUAUUGGGCGUAAAGGGCUCGUAGGUGGUUGAUCGCGUCGGAAGUGUAAUCUUGGGGCUUAACCCUGAGCGUGCUUUCGAUACGGGUUGACUUGAGGAAGGUAGGGGAGAAUGGAAUUCCUGGUGGAGCGGUGGAAUGCGCAGAUAUCAGGAGGAACACCAGUGGCGAAGGCGGUUCUCUGGGCCUUUCCUGACGCUGAGGAGCGAAAGCGUGGGGAGCGAACAGGCUUAGAUACCCUGGUAGUCCACGCUGUAAACGGUGGGUACUAGGUGUGGGGUCCAUUCCACGGGUUCCGUGCCGUAGCUAACGCUUUAAGUACCCCGCCUGGGGAGUACGGCCGCAAGGCUAAAACUCAAAGGAAUUGACGGGGCCCCGCACAAGCGGCGGAGCAUGCGGAUUAAUUCGAUGCAACGCGUAGAACCUUACCUGGGUUUGACAUGGAUCGGGAGUGCUCAGAGAUGGGUGUGCCUCUUUUGGGGUCGGUUCACAGGUGGUGCAUGGCUGUCGUCAGCUCGUGUCGUGAGAUGUUGGGUUAAGUCCCGCAACGAGCGCAACCCUUGUUCACUGUUGCCAGCACGUUAUGGUGGGGACUCAGUGGAGACCGCCGGGGUCAACUCGGAGGAAGGUGGGGAUGACGUCAAGUCAUCAUGCCCCUUAUGUCCAGGGCUUCACGCAUGCUACAAUGGCUGGUACAGAGAGUGGCGAGCCUGUGAGGGUGAGCGAAUCUCGGAAAGCCGGUCUCAGUUCGGAUUGGGGUCUGCAACUCGACCUCAUGAAGUCGGAGUCGCUAGUAAUCGCAGAUCAGCAACGCUGCGGUGAAUACGUUCCCGGG